GGACCACCAAAGAUCAGAGACGAGCUGAGACGGACGGACACGGGACGGCUCCUAUCGGGUCGCAGGGCCGAGGACGAUCGCGAGCUGUUGCUUGUAGCGGAUGUGGUUGCGUCUGGACGGGAUCGUGAUCUGAGCUGGACGCAAGCUGAGCUGAGGAUGAGGACGUUGGACACGAACAGGGAACGUCUGAAGCUGAGCUUGAUCGGAGUUGAGACGAGACAGAGGUCGUCUAGGAUCGUCACCGCCGGCUUCGGGUUUUAGG
rnacentral:lncRNA from 1 species